AUGUGCUCUUUUCCAACGGGGAGCAUCUACCAGAAUAGCCGUCCUUUACUCAAAUCAAACUUGCAGAUGUGUUUUUCGGUUGGUAUAGAUGACUCCAGUCUCUCCUGUGGACCAGAGCAGGCCAUUCUGUGCCCAGUAAGGAGCCACUGCUCGAGGCGAGACGUCAGCGAACUUUUUCUUAAAGGACCUGACGGAAAUUGUUUGGGUCUUCCGGGCCUCCUGCUCUGCCACAGCUCCAUCAAUAACACAGAAACAAAGACAACAAGAAAAGGGCUGAAUGUGGCCAUGUGCCAACAAAACUCUAUCUAAGAACACUGAGAUACUUUACAUAUUGUGUGUGUUACAUAUUGUGUUUUACAUAUUGUGUGUGUUAUCAAAUAUUAUUCGUUUCUUCUUAUUUUUCCUUAACCAUGUAAAACUCUAAAAACCAUUACUGGAUGGAUCCCAGGAUGUUUAAAAACAGGCUACAGGCUACAUUUGACCUGCCAGUCUUAAUUUGCCAACCUCUGCUGGAGAUAUGCAAAAUCUUUAGGGCAGGACCAAUUUUAAGUAUCUCUGAAGUAUAAAGCAAAAAUUAUUAAAAAUUGGUCCUUGAGAGGAAAAACAGGAUUAAUUUU
rnacentral:lncRNA from 1 species